GAAGAGGACAACACAAACAACCAAUGCUUAAUCCUUUGUUAAAUGAACAAAGGAACUUACGAAGAUUAGCAUAAAGAAAAGGACACUUUUAGUGUUAUUAGUUCUUCACUUAUAAAUCGUUGUAUGAAGAAAUAAGAGUUGUUUUGAACAACCCUUAGUCAAUGCAAAACACUUAGUGCUUGUUUCUUUGUUACAUGAACAAAGAACUUGAGAAGAAAGCACAAAGGCAUGGACACUUAAUGUGCCAUGACUCUUCACUUACAAUUUGUUGUGUGAAGAAAUAAGAGUUGCCUUGUACAACUUCUUUAAAAAGUUUGUAAUUAUGUUUAGAACAUAAUGGUUGAUUGACAAAAAAUAGUCCAUCAACAUGGACUUAUGAUGAUUUUGAAUCAUUAAGUGUUGAAGUGUUAAAACACUUCUAG
rnacentral:lncRNA from 1 species